GCCGGGCGUGGUGGCUCAUGCCUGUAGUCCCAGCACUUUGGGAGGCUGAGGCAGGCGGAUCACCUGAGGUCAGGAGUUCGAGACCAGCCUGACCAACAUGGAGAAACCCUGUCUCUA
rnacentral:SRP_RNA from 1 species